GCCGACGGCAACUUCUGGAAAAUGUGAAUACGCCAAUAAUAUUUCAAAAAGAUUUCAGACGCUAAGCAGAGCAAGGCUUGGUUAGUACUUGGAUGGGAGACCGCUGGGAAUACCAGGUGCCACAGGGG
rnacentral:rRNA from 1 species